rnacentral:rRNA from 1 species
CACAAGACUCUCGGCAACGGAUAUCUCGGCUCUCGCAUCGAUGAAGAACGUAGCAAAAUGCGAUACCUGGUGUGAAUUGCAGAAUCCCGUGAACCAUCGAGUUUUUGAACGCAAGUUGCGCCCGAGGCCUUCUGGCUGAGGGCACGCCUGCCUGGGCGUCACGC